UCAAAACACUCGUAAAGCAAGGCACUCAUAAGCCAAGGUAAUACUGUACAAGGACUAUUUCAAGGCAUUUAUUAGUGAUUUAGUUUUGCUCGUAAUUCAAAACACUCGUAAAGCAAGGCACUCAUAAGCCAAGGUAAUACUGUACAAGGACUAUUUCAAGGCAUUUAUUAGUGAUUUAGUUUUGCUCGUAAUUCAAAACACUCGUAAGGCAAGGCACUCAUAAGCCAAGGUAAUACUGUACAAGGACUAUUUCAAGGCAUUUAUUAGUGAUUUAGUUUUGCUCGUAAUUCAAAACACUCGUAAGGCAAGGCACUCAUAAGCCAAGGUAAUACUGUACAAGGACUAUUUCAAGGCAUUUAUUAGUGAUUUAGUUUUCCUCAUAACUCAAAACACUCAUAAAGCAAGGCACUCGUAAGCCAAGGUAAUACUGUACAAGGACUAUUUCAAGGCAUUUUUUAGUGAUUUAGUUUUGCUCAUAAUUCAAAACACUCAUAAAGCAAGGCACUCAUAAGCCAAGGUAUUACUGUACAAGGACUAUUUCAAGGCAUUUAUUAGUGAUUUAGUUUUGCUCAUAACUCAAAACACUCAUAAAGCAAAGCACUCAUAAGCCAAGGUAUUACUGUACAAGGACUAUUUCAAGGCAUUUAUUAGUGAUUUAGUUUUGCUCAUAACUCAUAACACUCAUAAAGCAAAGCACUCAUAAGCCAAGGUAUUACUGUACAAGGACUCUUUCAAGGCAUUUAUUAGUGAUUUAGUUUUGCUCAUAACUCAAAACACUCAUAAAGCAAGGCACUCAUAAGCCAAGGUAUUACUGUACAAGGACGUUUUGCCUUGGGAGCUUACGAACUUGCUAUAUUGGACUGUAAAACUGGCCCUUAAUGUGCAUAGCUGUGGUUGCCCUCCCUUCCGGCUGCCUGGCCACUCAGAGCCUAGUAUUAGGUCUGUAGCUUAACACUUGGGACCUACUAUAGUUACCUUAGUCUUUGCCAAGGAGGACGCCACUUUCUUCUUCUCUUAGUAAAUAUGGUCCAAUCCACAGCCCAGGACAGCGUGAUUGUCAGCCCCCAAACUAACCUAAAACUACAUAUUUAUUGUCGUUGUUGGUGUUUAUGAAGUAAAUUGAAGGUC